CAGAGUAUCUUAACAGUUCUAAGGAGAAGAACUAAAAAGCCAGAAUCGAGGGAAAUCUACAUCCACAGAAGCCAAGGAAAUGAAGGACAUUUUGAACAAUAUAUGUAGCUGAAUUUCAAGACGUAUUUAGCAUCGCGAAGUAGAUAGGAUACCCGUGAAUCUGUGUUCAGCCAACAAACCCGAGGUUACCUAUAUAAAUCUAUCUACUUAUUCCAAUUCCUGCUGUAAAAGAAAUCCAGUUACCAGCUUCCGAAUCGAGGGAAAUCUACAUUCACAGAAACCAAGGAAAUGAAGGACAUUUUGAACAAUAUCUGUAACUGAAUUUCAAGACGUAUUUAGCAUGCAGAAGUAGAUAGGAUACCCGUGAAUCUGUGUUCAGCCAACAAACCAGAAAUUACUUCUAUAGAUCUAUCUACUUAUUCUAAUUCCUGCUGAAAAAGAAAUCCAGUUACCAGCUUCCGGUGAGAAGACUUGGAUGAAUUGACACCACAGAGAAGGAAGAACGGAAGCCAUUGUUAUAUGGUGGUACAAUGCAUCAGCUGUUCUAUCACUUAAUUCAUACAUAUCGAAAUUUCAGAUAAGAUAUUACCUCACCAGAAUUCAUAACUAAAGCAAUAUGUUCUCUGACAUUCAGUUUUAUUACUGAUAACCCAAUGUUACUGUAAAUUGAUUCAUUUUCCCCCAAAGGUGUACAAAUGUUAAAUUCUUCAUUGCUUUUUUAGCUCACCUGAGUCGAUGGCGAGCUUUUCUGAUCAAAAUGUGUCCCUUGUCCAUCGUCGUUAUUGACGUUCUCCUCGUCGUAAACUUUCCUCAUUUUCAUAUUCUUUUCCAGAACCACUGGGCAAAUUUCAACCAAACUUGGCACAGAGGACCUUUGGGUAAAGGGGAUUUAAAUUUUUAAA